GAUGAACGCUAGCGGCAGGCCUAAUACAUGCAAGUCGAACGAUACCUUCCAGCUUGCUGGAGGGAAAAGUGGCGCACGGGUGCGUAACGCGUAUGCAACCUACCUUAAUCAGGGGGAUAGCCCGGAGAAAUCCGGAUUAACACCGCAUAAAAACACAGGAUAGCAUUAUCCAAUGUUCAAAUAUUUAUAGGAUUGAGAUGGGCAUGCGUGUCAUUAGCUAGUUGGCGGGGUAACGGCCCACCAAGGCGACGAUGACUAGGGGAUCUGAGAGGAUGACCCCCCACACUGGUACUGAGACACGGACCAGACUCCUACGGGAGGCAGCAGUAAGGAAUAUUGGUCAAUGGAGGCAACUCUGAACCAGCCAUGCCGCGUGCAGGAAGACUGCCCUAUGGGUUGUAAACUGCUUUUAUCCGGGAAUAAACCUCUUUACGUGUAGAGAGCUGAAUGUACCGGAAGAAUAAGGAUCGGCUAACUCCGUGCCAGCAGCCGCGGUAAUACGGAGGAUCCAAGCGUUAUCCGGAUUUAUUGGGUUUAAAGGGUGCGUAGGCGGCCUGUUAAGUCAGGGGUGAAAGACGGUAGCUCAACUAUCGCAGUGCCCUUGAUACUGAUGGGCUUGAAUGGACUAGAGGUAGGCGGAAUGAGACAAGUAGCGGUGAAAUGCAUAGAUAUGUCUCAGAACACCGAUUGCGAAGGCAGCUUACUAUGGUCUUAUUGACGCUGAGGCACGAAAGCGUGGGGAUCAAACAGGAUUAGAUACCCUGGUAGUCCACGCCCUAAACGAUGAACACUCGCUGUUGGCGAUACACAGUCAGCGGCUAAGCGAAAGCGUUAAGUGUUCCACCUGGGGAGUACGGUCGCAAGAUUGAAACUCAAAGGAAUUGACGGGGGCCCGCACAAGCGGAGGAGCAUGUGGUUUAAUUCGAUGAUACGCGAGGAACCUUACCCGGGCUUGAAAGUUAGUGAAUGAUUUAGAGAUAGAUCAGUCCGCAAGGACACGAAACUAGGUGCUGCAUGGCUGUCGUCAGCUCGUGCCGUGAGGUGUUGGGUUAAGUCCCGCAACGAGCGCAACCCCUAUGUUUAGUUGCCAGCACGUCAUGGUGGGGACUCUAAACAGACUGCCUGUGCAAACAGAGAGGAAGGAGGGGACGACGUCAAGUCAUCAUGGCCCUUACGUCCGGGGCUACACACGUGCUACAAUGGAUGGUACAGAGGGCAGCUACAUAGCAAUAUGAUGCGAAUCUCACAAAGCCAUUCACAGUUCGGAUUGGGGUCUGCAACUCGACCCCAUGAAGUUGGAUUCGCUAGUAAUCGCGUAUCAGCAAUGACGCGGUGAAUACGUUCCCGGGCCU
rnacentral:rRNA from 1 species